AGUGAACGCUGGCGGUAGGCCUAACACAUGCCAGUCGAACGGCAGCACAGUAAGAGCUUGCUCUUACGGGUGGCGAGUGGCGGACGUGUGAGGAAUACAUCGGAAUCUACUUUUUCGGGGGGGUUAACGUAGGGAAACUUACUCUAAUACCGCAUACGACCUACGGGUGAAAGCAGGGGAUCUUUGGACCUUGCGCGAUUGAAUUAGCCGAUGUCGGAUUAGCUAGUUGGCCGGGUAAAGGCCCACCAAGGCGACGAUCCGUAGCUGGUCUGAGAGGAUGGUCGGCCGCACUGGAACUGAGACACGGUCCAGACUCCUACGGGAGGCAGCAGUGGGGAAUAUUGGACAAUGGGCGCAAGCCUGAUCCAGCCAUACCGCGUGGGUGAAGAAGGCCUUCGGGUUGUAAAGCCCUUUUGUUGGGAAAGAAAAGCAGCAGGUUAAUACCCCGCUGUUCUGACGGUACCCAAAGAAUAAGCACCGGCUAACUUCGUG
rnacentral:rRNA from 1 species